GCGUUUAUAGCUCAGUUGGUUAGAGCACCACCUUGACAUGGUGGGGGUCGUUGGUUCGAGUCCAAUUAACCGCACCA
rnacentral:tRNA from 1 species